CAAAGCACUUUGAAGAGAGAGUUAAAGAGGACGUGAAACCGAUGAGGUGGAAACGGAUAGAGCCAGCGUAUCUGGCCUGUAUUCACCCACAGUCACCGUCGCGCUUAGGCUGUUCGCCCUCCAGAUUGGGACGGCGUCUUUGCUGCUUGACCUUGGCGGUGGUGCAUUUGCAGGUGGUGUGCGCCGAGGUGCUUGGAAUGGCUGCAUGAGCUCAGUGUUGAGGCCAGCUUGCUGGUACCCACACUGGAGGAGUGUUGUUCAUUCUGAGCGUUUUGGGCAUGGCUUACGAGCCUGGGUGGGUGCCGAGCUGUAUGACAGUGGCGGUCGCAUGCGACACGUGCUGUUCAGCCAGUUCGGGCCUGCUCUCGGCUCUCAUGCUCACUCUCGGUGUAAAAGCUGGUCAUCUGUCCGACCCGUCUUGAAACACGGACCAAGGAGUUUAUCGUGUGCGCAAGUCAUUGGGCGCUGAAAACCCAAAGGCGCAAUGAAAGUGAACGCAUCCGCAAGGAGCUGACGUGCGAUCCCGGGCAUUGCGGUGCCCGGGCGCAGCAUGGCCCCAUCCUGACUGCAUGCAGUGGGGUGGAGGUAGAGCGUACGCGGUGAGACCCGAAAGAUGGUGAACUAUUCCUGAGCAGGAUGAAGCCAGA
rnacentral:rRNA from 1 species